AUUGAACGCUGGCGGCAGGCUUAACACAUGCAAGUCGAGCGGUAACAGGAGAAGCUUGCUUCUCGCUGACGAGCGGCGGACGGGUGAGUAAUACUUAGGAAUCUACCUAGUAGUGGGAGAUAGCUCGGGGAAACUCGAAUUAAUACCGCAUACGACCUACGGGAGAAAGGGGGCAGUUUACUGCUCUCGCGAUUAGAUGAGCCUAAGUCGGAUUAGCUAGUUGGUGGGGUAGAGGCCUACCAAGGCGACGAUCUGUAGCUGGUCUGAGAGGAUGAUCAGCCACACCGGGACUGAGACACGGCCCGGACUCCUACGGGAGGCAGCAGUGGGGAAUAUUGGACAAUGGGGGCAACCCUGAUCCAGCCAUGCCGCGUGUGUGAAGAAGGCCUUUUGGUUGUAAAGCACCUUAAGCAGUGAAGAAGACUCUAUGGUUAAUACCCAUAGACGAUGACAUUAGCUGCAGAAUAAGCACCGGCUAACUCUGUGCCAGCCGCCGCGGUAA
rnacentral:rRNA from 1 species